ACCCGCGCCUAGCUCGGAUCCGCCCCACUACGCCCCCAAAUCAUCCCAAGCGCUCCAACCGCUCGCAGCCCUAAAUCUAAUCCGUCGUCUUCCGGGUCGCCAUCCGCCCUCAUCCCCUCACGCUCAAACCAAACCCUAGCAAACCCUAGCAGAUGUCAGCCCACGACGAGGACGGCGGCCGCCGCCGCAGGACCCUUGCCAAGGUUUCACUCUCGUUGGUCUCGAGCACCAUGGCGGAGGCCUCCACCUACUCCUUAGACGCAGUUAAGACGCGCCACCUCUAGCUCCACCACAGCCCCGGCGGCGCGGGCGUGCGCGGCGUAAUCCGGGUCGCGGCCGAGCUCGUCCGAGAUAGCGGGGUUUAACGGGGCUUAACCCCCUCCGUUCUCCGCCACCUGAUGUACACCCGCUUUGCAUCGUGGGGUUCCAGCAUCUUCGGUCCACCCUCGCUAGCAACUGGGGGAGGAUGGCCUUUUUGGGAAGGCGCUCGCCGGUGGACUUUCAGGUGUUGCUGCACAGUCACUGAUAGGGCAGCCGUUCUGGGUUUCCUAUGAGAAACUGCACCAAACAUCAGGUAUUUUAUCAUUUUGGCAAUCGAGUGUGUUUCAUGGUAGAACCAUUUUUAUGUUCAUUACUAGAGUGUGGGCUUUUAUCCUUUGCUGUCUCCAAGGAAACAUGGAUGAAAUUGCUACGCCUCACAUUGUAUUUUGACAAUCUACAAGAUUCAUGAGCUCCACAGAAAACUGACAAUCUCAUCCAUUAUCCCUUUUCUAUUAACAAAGUUGUUUGCUCAAUCUAUAUUUGUGUGAUUUAUAGCCUCACGUCGGAAGUUAUAUAUGUCAUUCAAAAUUUGACAUCUAUAGAUAUUUAUUCAUAACUUUUAAUCAAAGUAUAAGGAUGAAAGAAGAUUUUAAAAUGUGAUGUAUAUGAACUAAAUAACCUUAGCUUAUGACUGCAAUAAUUGGACGCCCGGUGGGAAAUCCUCUCAGUGCCAGAUGUGAUGGACCAUCCUGCCGGUGUCACCUCUAGCCUUCGCUUGGUAAUUGUAAUUCGGCAGCGACUGAAACCAUGGCUCAAUUGCAGGGCCGACAUGUUGUGUUGGGCGCCUUUCCAUGGUUGCAGGGCCGGCACGGAUGUAUGGUUGUCGUGCUGAGUGAGCAGGCCGGAAGAUGCUCUUUUAGUACUUUGUCUGAUCAAGUCCAUUUAGAUUUUCCCUAUGUCAAACUAUUUUACCUUUGACUAUCAAUUUUUAAACUUGACAGGCUGAUGACACAAUUCACAUUAUUACUAGGUUUAUUAUGAAAAAGACAGCAUAUUCUUGACGAUAUUGCUAUAUGAAGUGUCAUACUAAGAGACUACUGAUCGGAUGGACGAGUGUAUUAUUUUAGUAGUUAGUGGUGCUUGUUUAGAACUAAGAUUGCAAAUACACUGAGAUGAUUUGGGUAUUAUAAUACAAGCCAAGCUGCAAAUAUGGAACCAUGCAACUUCCACAAUUAGUCAAGUUAUCUUUGGGUCCUGCUUUUAAUUCUUGGGAUUCCAAACUCAUGUUUGGUCAAGACAAGGACAUUACGACAUUGUGCAAUGGGCUGGCUUUUGAUAAACUCGAAUGUGGAGGUGGCUUGCUACUGCAAGCCUUGUUACUGGCUUAUAAAUCUGGCUUCCAAGUGUGGGAUGUGGAACAUGUUUAUGAUGUAAGAUAGCUAGAUACAGACAUGAUGGCUCUAUUUCAUUUAUUCAAGUGCUAAAGGAUCCAAUUUUCACAACCGAAUCUCGAGACAGAUUUGUAGAUGUACGGCCAUCGCUAGCUCUUGCAUGUGAUCGUGUAUGAUUGCAACAAUCCUGACAAAAUAUGGUGGUACUUUAUAUUUUGGCAUAUUGUGCACAAAAACAAGUGUCUUCUAUGACCACCGUGAUUUAUGUAUUUUCAAACGAAAUUUUAUGGCACUUCUUGUUGUGUUU